rnacentral:rRNA from 1 species
CGUGGACCCGUGAUCCGGGUUGCGGACAGUGUCUGGUGGGUAGUUUGACUGGGGCGGUCUCCUCCUAAAGAGUAACGGAGGAGCACGAAGGUUGGCUAAUCCUGGUCGGACAUCAGGAGGUUAGUGCAAUGGCAUAAGCCAGCUUGACUGCGAGCGUGACGGCGCGAGCAGGUGCGAAAGCAGGUCAUAGUGAUCCGGUGGUUCUGAAUGGAAGGGCCAUCGCUCAACGGAUAAAAGGUACUCCGGGGAUAACAGGCUGAUACCGCCCAAGAGUUCAUAUCGACGGCGGUGUUUGGCACCUCGAUGUCGGCUCAUCACAUCCUGGGGCUGAAGUAGGUCCCAAGGGUAUGGCUGUUCGCCAUUUAAAGUGGUACGCGAGCUGGGUUUAGAACGUCGUGAGACAGUUCGGUCCCUAUCUGCCGUGGGCGCUGGAGAACUGAGGGGGGCUGCUCCUAGUACGAGAGGACCGGAGUGGACGCAUCACUGGUGUUCGGGUUGUCAUGCCAAUGGCACUGCCCGGUAGCUAAAUGCGGAAGAGAUAAGUGCUGAAAGCAUCUAAGCACGAAACUUGCCCCGAGAUGAGUUCUCCCUGAGACUUAGAGUCUCCUGAAGGAACGUUGAAGACGACGACGUUGAUAGGCCGGGUGUGUAAGCGCAGCGAUGCGUUGAGCUAACCGGUACUAAUGAACCGUGAGGCUUAACCUUACAACGCCG